rnacentral:rRNA from 1 species
CCCGCUACAGAAACUUAAAUAGAAUUAGACGGGGGCCCGGCACAAGCGGUGGAGUAUGUGGUUAAUUCGAUGCAACGCGAAGAACCUUACCUGGUCUUGACAUCCCGGAGACCCUUAGGAAACUAGGGGGUGCUUCCAUCUGGAAGAAUCUGGAGACAGGUGCUGCAUGGCUGUCGUCAGCUCGUGUCGUGAGAUGUUGGGUUAAGUCCCGCAACGAGCGCAACCCUUGCCUUUAGUUGCCAGCAGUUCGGCUGGGCACUCUAAAGGGACUGCCGGUGUUAAACCGGAGGAAGUGGGGAUGACGUCAAGUCCUCAUGGCCUUUAUGACCAGGGCUACACACGUACUACAAUGGCCGAUACAAAGGGCAGCGACACUGCGAGGUGAAGCCAAUCCCGUAAAAUCGGUCUCAGUCCGGAUUGGAGUCUGCAACUCGACUCCAUGAAGUUGGAAUCGCUAGUAAUCGUGGAUCAGCAUGCCACGGUGAAUACGUUCCCGGGCCUU